ensembl:lncRNA
AUUUAUCUUGUAAGGACAGUUACACAGAAGAAGGGAGAAAAGAGGAAGGACGUAUCAGCUUUCAAAAUCAGAACUUCCUGACUGAUCAAACACGGCAAAGCAAGCAAGGUGACAAGACAGUUCAGAGUGCUCUGUGUCAGUUUGAUGACUUUUCUCCAGAACAAUGAAUUACCAGCCUCUUCUGCUCUGCUGCGUCAUAUAUGCAGAGUUGUGUGGGUUCAUCAGUGCACAGGUUAUAUCAGUAACAGGAACUGAAGGACAAGGCAUCACAGUGCGAUGCCACUUUUCUUUCUCUGGAAACAGGAAGUUCUUCUGUAAGGAAAAUUGCAAUCCAGGCAAUGUUCUUAUUGAAACAUCUGAGGAAAAAGCACAAAAAGGCAAAUUUAGCAUUGAAUAUGAAGGUACAGUGCAUUCUCCUGUCCUGUUUGUGACCAUCAAGCCACUGACCAUGUCUGACGCUGGGCGUUACAAGUGUGGUCUGAGCAGUUUCUUUGGGAAUUCAGAACAGGAGGUUAAACUCAUUGUUAAAGCUGCUCCGACUACCAGCUCACCCAGCUCCACACCUUCGACCACUCUGUCUCAAGGCAGCAAAGCCUCGGUCUCUGACACACGCUCAGAGCACUUCCUGCCUCUGGUUGUAUGUGUUCCUGUGGUCGUUUUGGUGUUGGCAGCCGUUCUGUUCCUGCGCUGCAAGAAGAAGACACAGAGGAAGGUUGAUGGAGUAACCCUUGAUUACAGAAACACAAAGAUUGAACCUUAUGAAAACUCCGUUUUUCACACACGUGAAGACGCCAUCUACGAGAGCCUCGAUCCAAUCAGGAGUGACCAGGACACAACCUACUCGACACUCUUACACACUCACACGAUUCACAAGGGGAUUCAAGAGUGAUUACAAUUAUCGGUGAAAAACGGAUGUUUUCUAAAGUUUUAUACCCACGUGUAUGAUCACACGUCUUAUAAAAAUAAAUAAAUAAAUAGAAGCUACAUGUAGGUCAUGGGCAUCAACCUGAGUUUGUGUUUGGGACACAUGAGGAAGUGAUAUUCCUAAAUACAACUUGGUCCACAGAAAUGAUCCAACACCCUCAUAAGCGUCAGCGCACCUGUUGGCACAUUAUGAAGUAAUAGUGAGUUUGUGAUUGGCCUCCUGUAACAAACACACUGGUGUGUGUACCGUCUGUGAAAUGCGACUCUUACCUCACACUGAAAUCGUUCCUUCUCUUACUGUGAUUUUUUUACGUUUACUAUGUUUAUUUUUAUUUUACUACUUUGUCCAGAUUCUAAGCUUUGUUUCAUAUUUUGAUAUUUUGAGUAGUAUUACGUUCAUUUUUAUUUGAUUUUAUUAUUUUAGUCUUAAGUCACCUUGACAAGGCUUCACAUGCUGUCAUUCAUUACCCUGUAUAAUAAAAACUGUUGAUUUAAAAUCAAAUUUCAUUGACAGAAACAAACUGAUUCUGAACUCGUCAGACAAAACAAAUCAGCAAGUGACUCAUAUACAAGCAGGAAGGAGCGCACUGUCCUCAAAGACUAACACGCUCUUGUCUACGACGGUGUAAACGUGUAAGAUGAAAAAUGAUUGAAAAAUAUCAAAUAUCAAUGCUAAAAUGUAAAAAAGCUUUAAAAUGAAAUUGCAUUUAACUGAAUAUUAAGCUCAAUGCUUUUUCUAGAGUAUUUAAUGUGGUAUUAGUGUCUCUUGGGGCGUCACAGAGGGGAACUCUAACACCCACCUCAGCUCAAACAUGUGAAAAGUGCUUCCACAUCCACCCAGCAGGUGUCACUGUUGACCAAUAAUUUCCUCCUGACUUGUUCAGCAUUUGGUGUGCGUCUAUUAUACACGCUUUAAAACUACAUCCUUUACUUUGUUAUGAAUUUUACAGCAUUUAUAAUAUUUACACCUUCUACAAAAUGUGGAUUUCAGGUUUUAUUGUGAUGGAUGUGAUGUGUGACGUCCACACUGUGAAAGUGUUCGCUUGGUUCGACAAAAUAUGAUUUGCGUCACUCCCUGCACACAUUCAGGUCCUGUGAUAGAAGCACAAAGCUGACUGUGAUCCUUUAUUAUCAUAUUUGGAAAACGGACCAGAACAACUGGGUACAGAGACCCAAAGGGUCAUUAACAAUUUAACAAAAACAACCGCAGAGAAUAAAAAGUGGAACAAACUGGAGUUGUUUUGUGUCUCUUUCAUCGUGGUGUCUCAUAGAUGUAUGUUUGAUUUAUAUUUAACUGUAACUGAG